CCGGCCCGGCCCGGCCCGGGUGCCGCUCCCUGCCCCGGGCAGCCCGCCAGAUGCUGCUGCCUGCCAUGAUGCUCUGUGUGAUUUGUGCCAUUCCCCAAGGACAAAGGGGAGAGAUCCUUGGUUUGGACAGGUCCUGCAGUGCCUCCUGCACCAGUCUCCCUCCACAGAAACCCAGCUGGGCCUUAACCAAGGCAGACCAAAGCUCUUAGGAACUGCUACAGUAUAAAGCAAACUUUUUCUAGCUCUGAUAACCCAUCCACCAGGUUGAUCCAGUCUUUAUCUGCCUUGUUAUUAGCCAGGGGGAAGACUGGUAAUUUUUGUCCUGUAGUAGGUGUUUCAUGUGAACAGUGUCCAAGGAAGUCUUGCCAAAUGCCAUUGUCCUCCCAUAGUAGCCUGGGUGUUCAGUAUUUCUGCAUAUUAAAUGUUUGGGGAAGAGUGACUUGGCUUUUGCUUUUUGAAAAAAUAAUGUCCAAAAUAGUACCUUCAUUAGUCAUUUUUACCAUGCACGUGGCUUUUCCUGGAGCAGGUCCCUGUGAGAUCCAUCCUGCAGACUGUAGGGUUGCUGCCCAGGUACUCCUGGCCUAGCUGGAGUCCCUCUUAGUCUGUGUGUCCCAUGAACGUGCUAUUUCAUUCUAAAAGGCAGCCUUGGAAGUGGAUUCUCCUGGGCUGGUACCUCAGCAAGGUAUGUGCUUUAAAGUGCCAGUACAUGCAUCUCUGUGAUGGAUGAGGAGAUGUGUACCCAGUGAUGUUUGGGUGGGUAUUUCCUUCAAAAGUCUUCUGCACAUCUCUUUCAAGGAGGAUGUGUUCAUACCCAUUUAUUUCAGUGCAAAGGUGAUGCAGAGGGCUUGGGCAGCUCACUGAAUUGGUGUAAAAACUUGGACAAUGUGAAAAUCAGGUGGCCAUGUUUGGCUUUGAAAAGAUUUCACUGACAGAGUCUGAAUGAAUUAACUCUCUGGGGUUCAAACCAGCAGGCAUUGUCAGAUACAAGGGAUUAAAAGGCUUUUUAAUGUGGCUUAGUAGUGUACAGAAGAUUGGCUUACUUGUAUGAGCUCUUCUUUUGUCACAUUGAUCUUUAUUUUGCAUUGUGCUUAGUACAACAGAAUCUGGAGGCUGAAGUCUUCUUUCCUGAAUCGUCUGAAAAGACUUGGCCCUUUUAUUGCUUAGUAAAAUAUUUUAUUGUGAAGGAGGAAUUGAUUUUUGCCAGUGUUGAGUAAUAGCUGAAGAAUACCAAGUUGUAAUAAUUUCAUGAGCGCUGUAUGUGGCCAGGUGGGUGAGAGGAAGUUACUAUAUGGUGGGUUGUACUUCUUUAUAUUACUUUCCUGUAUAGAUGUAUUGAUCCAACCUAAUAGGGAGCUAGCUGAUGAAGGAAUAAAAGGCAAUUCAGUGGUU